AGAUUUUUUUUGUGAUUUCCACUCGGAGAACUUCAACCUUUCGGUCCGGACGCCAAAGUAUCCCCCCACCUUUUGAAUGAGUUUUUCCUUUUAAUUAAGAGACACAGCCCUUCCGGGGACACUUCGCGUCGCGAUUCCAGACAGUCUUCAUUAGAUUAUCUGCGGAUCAGCGAGACGCACAUCAAGACUUCUGUUCGGCCAUAACCGAAGAUGUAGUCAAUUAGACAAGGGAUGCUAUCCCUAUAAGUUCUUUUAAGUAGUUUAGUCUAUCUGUACACAGCAUACUUAGUAGUUAUUUUUUUAAAUAUUUUUACAUUAUGGAAACACCCGCGACUCCCGCGAUCUUCAGAACCGGACGUGCUACGCUUCGGGCUCUAGAAGCUACCUUUCCUGUCUGACAGGUCCAAGAGCCGGAUGCGGAGCCGCACACUCCCUCUCCAACAAACAGGCGCCCUGACGCCAUGUUGACUGCUGGACUCCGGCCAGCGAGCAUGACCUCCGGUCCUACUAUAUUUAUGAACCUUUGAAAUAUCAUUUAAAUUACUACGUUUGAAGAGAUUAGAACUAUAUACAACUUUCGUUCUGGACUUUAAGAACUUACAUUGUGAUUGUGCCUCUUCGUAUUUUUUAUAAAAUUAAUUUGUUUUUUAUAUUAAAUGAAACCUCUAAUAAUCUGAUUAGGGCCGGCCCAUAUUUUUUAACAUAUCCGAGAGCUCUUUUAAUUAUGUAAAUGAAAUUGUAUUUCAACACAUUUUAAUAUCUGUUAUACAUUUGUCUCUCAGUCGACUGUUAUAAGUUUCAUCAUUUAAAUUAAUAUAGAGUAAUUAUAUUCAGACGGAAUCACACCUUGUUUCUGUUCAUUCCUCAUGUCCUUGUGAUACUAAAAGGUCCACUGUUACAGCAGUGUGCAAGGUCAAUAGCAGUAUUUAUGUACUUAAUCUUAUUUACCUACACUGCCGCAACGUAACAAAACUGGUAGCAUUUAGCGUGAUUAACUUUCCAUCGGCUUUGGUAUGAUUUAUGAGCAAUGCUGUAACACUAGCACAAACCCCCUCAUCCGACUCAUCGCCGAUCCUCCCCACCCUAGACGCCCCCUCUUCACGACCGACCUCCAGGAAGAGGCCUUUGCAGACGAAGAUGACGCCGCCGCCGGAGGGGCCGGCGGAUAACGCCGGGGACCAGCACUGCGGGACUGAGGACGCCACGAUGCCCCCCAUCACCACUAGACCACCCCAACGCACUCACCGAUCUGGACACAGACCGGCGGAGGCAGGCCUAGGCCAAAGGGCCUGCUCACACCCACCACCCACACAUCACCAUCACACCACGCAGAUCAUCGGCCCCCUAGGACCUGGUCGUCGGGAGGGGUCUCGCCCAGUGAAUAUUGUAUAUAUUAUAUUGUAUUUUUCUUUGUAAUUAAAAAAUGUACUCAUCAAGUGUUACCACCCAUGUUAUGUACCUUUGCAGACUCAAAGUUUAGCGUAUUUUUAGCAUAGUGGACCCCCUGGGGGGGUCCCCCUUUAAAAAAAAAAUAUAUGAAAUAUAGUUGAAAUUUUAUUGCGAUGAUUUAUACAAAACUUUGGUUAAAAAUCCAUCUGUUUUUGCUGUUUUGGCUCAGGUGUUGAUCUACAUAGAACACCACUUCGACCAACAGGCAGUACAUCGUCCAACUCUUCUUCUAUAUUGAAUUCAACCUCUGGUGCUUCACCACAGUACUCGAAUCCACAGUGAAUACAUACAAUUAGUGAACCUGGUAUCAGGCCUAUCCGGCCUAAAGCACCAUUCAAGAGACAGCUCAAGGAAUAAAAGAAACACAAAUUUUGGAAACGGUUUAUUCUCGUACCUUGCUAUCUACGACAACACUUUUCAAUAACUAUUUACACACGUCACACACACGUAGGAACAAAGAUACAAGAAAUAUUACAUUCAAAACAGGAUGAAGUUUACUCAAUGCCAAACAGGUGAUAGAAGUCAAAGAAACUGUACAGCCAUGCAGUGCACAGACCAGCACGUGAACACACAGUGUAAGUUACGUCAUAUUCUUUUGUAGUACAUAAUAUUUUACUUACUAAACAAGCAACUAAAAUUCUAAAACUAUUAAAAUUACAAAAUUGCCCAGAACUGAGGGCAUUGACACUCCAACGAGUUGGCACACAACACUUAGUAGUCUGAAGCUUCGGUGAGACGAGUUUUUUCAAAAAUAGGCCUACAACACGCUCUCGUGGUCUCGUGAAAGUUAACCCAUUCACUGCAAGCUACCGGGCAGACUACCAGCAACCAACCCGUGUGGGAGACAACGUCUGUAUGGGGGCUCCUUGUGGAGACUGCUAGCGACACUUUCAGUGACAGUUCUGAGCAACGUGAUUGGCUUUUCGUUAGUCUGAGAAAAACUUGCUGUAAACUCACUACAGUUCAUAAGACUACUUUUGGAACAAUAGCUGAGAUGAUGCAUUUUUUUAAAUUUUUAUUUUUAUUUUGUUAUUUGAGGUUUGUUAUGUUCACAGGAAAUUCUUUGGAAUACAUCAAGCAAAAAUAUUCCACUGGAUAUGUUUGAACAUAAUGUUACAAUCAGAAAAAUUUAUGCACAAAUGAUAAACAUAAGUUUUUGACAAAAUGAAAUUCAUAGAAAACAAAAAAAAAAAUAAAGUAAAAACCAAUAGUACUUCUUUUACGAUAUGUUUUGUUAAUGGUGUAAAGUAUAGGGUAAAUACUUCCCUGAACAAAGAAAAACUUACAAACUCAUGGCCCAUAAAAAUAUAACUAUGGCAAAAAUUCUUUCAAAAAAAUGCUCCUAUCUUAUGUAUCUUUGUUCAGUGGCGAAAGAAGGACUCGUAACGAAGACAGCCGUCUGUGGAUGCUAGCACAGGGCAAGGAUUCAAGCAACAUGUCAAACACAAACGGUACACAAUACUAGAUAAAUAAGAUAAAAUACACACAAAACAUGCUACAACAAAUAUCAUCACAGUGAUAAUGUCCUUCCAAGUAUCUGAUCUUCUGUCUGGUUAUAAACUCAAACUCUACACAACAUUUAUCAAGGCAAAGUGUUAUACGUAACAAAAUUUAUGAGCAAUAGAAACAUUCCACCCACCUUAAAAUUAAAGAAGAUAUUAAAAAAAAAUUAAAAAUCAUUGUAAAAUUUAAAGAUUGGUUAAAACAAAUUACAAAUUUUUUUAGUUAUAUUUUUUUGCUUAUAAGUGUUUCCUGUUUAUCAAGUUACCUUUGUUCAAAACAUGUAAACCAUUCAAUAUUGUUUCACUGAAAUUUAAUUUGAAAAACUAGAAAUAACAGCUAUACUGAAAAAAGUAGUGACUAAACGCUGUUAUGAAAACUGUAUUGUUCUGAACAGGACUACGUAGUUAUGUAUAUGCCUCACGUAAUGCCAUACCUACAGCGCUUGCAAAACUAAAUAGUAAAAUAGCGACAUGUGUAAAAUAUCUCGCACGUGAGUAAGAGGGAAGAAUGUAUAGUAAAACUUAAAUUAGCAAAAAUCAAACAACAAAAUGUUUUUAUUUAAGCUAAAUUAAAAAAAAAAUAUAUUAAAAAAAAAAAAUUGCUUGAUACUUUUAGCAACCCCUUGAGAAAAUGCCCCUUACACAGUUCAUUAAUUACAAUGAUCUUUGAACUUUGCACUACAGCAAACAAAACUAUAUUUAAUACAGAUUAAGUAAUAUUAAAGAAAUCCUUGAAUUAUUUUUAAAAAUACGUUCUCUUGCGAACAACCCUUCAGACAGCACAGCACAAGGCCAGACCCUGCCCUUCGGACAAGUACAACCAUCCAAUGACGGUCACAGAUUAAUUCUUAGUAUUUCCUGACUAACGCCUGCUUCACACACAAGUGGAAAAUGCUACAGCAGAAAUGUUACACAAAGGAAAUUCACACCUUACUCUUAUUUAUCAAUGAAAUCCUGGGAUUUCCAACCAGUGAAGUGGAGAGCAAGAGAAAGUUAAUAAGCAGGAUACAAUAAAAUGGCUUCACUGCAUCAGUAAAAUCAUUCAAGGUGUGUAUAGUUUAGUUUAUCUUUUGAGUUCAUUUUUUUAGGUGGAUAACAUAUUGGGCUGUUUGCACUUCCCGCUGUGAGUUCAGUGUUUGGACUCGGUUCACACAGGUUCGAACCGAGCUCUGACCGUCCGUAAAGACGUCUACUCGGCAUGUCUGCUCACGGGUGAAUGUCUCCCGGACCAAAAAAACCCACGGCAAACCCUGGUUGGUACGUCAACUGGCCUGAUGUUCUUGUUUGCGCCCACGGGACCAGGGCUGGCAACCCUCUGUCUCACGCACAGAGCACGUCAUUCGAUUCCUUACACGGAGUGAAUCAAAAGUAAUUUGAUUUUGUACUCUAAUAAAUACGUAUUGAAUAUCAAAACUCAAAAAUAUUUUAUGACAACGUUUGCAUUAAAAAAAGAGAUCGUACUAUUGCAUUGUGACUUAUAAAAAAACUUUUCUCCUAAAACUGAAACUAAAUUGUUAAAAAAUUUCAAAUAUAGCAAUAUUUUAACACAAUGGAAGCAAGGGUAUUUUUAUGAUCAUACUUCAAAAAUAACAUAUUUUAAUGUGAAAAUAAAAUACAACUUUUUCUAACCAAGUAUUUGUAUUUACCAUAACAGGACCAUUUCUGAAAAGUAUACUGAUCUGAGAUUUUAACUUAUAACAACUUCAAAGUAUGAAGUAUGAAAAAUAAUGCAUGGUUCCUGGAAUUAAGUUUGCAAAUGCAUGCAUGAUCACAAGUAACAUACACUGAACAUGCAUGCACAAAACUAGUUUUGCUACUCUCACUACCACUUUUAGUCUUGCGAAACUUAUUUAUGCUCCCACGAAUGUACAAAAUCCACUCAAAAAAAUUAACCUCACACUGAGGCCAAGCCAUCAGAUAACUCUACAGAUAGCUGUUAAACUGUUUCGUCACGUCGUACGUUACAAUUCGGCCGUCAAGCUUUGUUUCACCUCUAAAGUUUAAAAUAAAAUAUUGUACAGUUUAAAAAUGAACCUUGCUUGUAAUAAAUAACUACGCCCCAGGAAAUAAACGCUGCUUCUGAAGCAGAUCAGCUUCGGGAAUCACAGAAGAAUCGCCCGCCCGCGCUGCUCGUCUGCGCCGGCCAGCCACACGGCCCGUGGUCCCCGAGGCCACGGCACGGCGAACAAUGUCCUCGACCACCGGGCUUGCUCACGGAACAGGAUGUGUCUCUACACAAGACGACGGCGCGGGCACAGCACAGUUGUGUCCACUUCACGACAGCAGUGCUGUCGUGACACCACACUUGAUCACGGUGUCACGGGAGCUGUGGCAUCAUAACUCCGAGUGCGGCCGGUGGUCACCUGCGAGUCGAAAAACAAUCCUUACCGAGUGUGUGUGAGAGCAACAUUUCAUUGUUUUAUUUUCACAUCAAUUUUAGUUUUAAAAUUACAAAUUGUUAAAAAUGAGAUACACAACUAUCAUGGAGAACAUUUUAUUUGGAUUGAUUUUAAAAAAAAAUAAAAAAAUAAAAA